rnacentral:lncRNA from 1 species
UAGCGACGUGGUCCCAACACGGCCGAGGAGGCGGGGGUGGGGGGGACCUCAAAGCAGGGGCAGGGUGGGGCUGGGAAACAGCUAGGUCCCCCUGCAACUUGGGUCACACGCUCAGAAGUGUCUGAAGAUGGAGAGCUGAGAUCUCGGCCACUAGGAAGCCCUUUGUGGACGGUCGUCCUGGAAUGGCAGGCACCAGACCUGUGGUCGAGGGAGAAACUUCCUGGCGAUUUGGGCCUGCCAGCAAUCAUUGUGAGCCGAGACACAUCACAUCGGUGGUGGGAGAGGCCAUCCUCGCCUCCAAGAGAAGAGCAAUAGCAGCUAUGAGACACACACAGUCAGGUUCCAUACAGAGUCUCCAGCUGGCCUUCGUGGAGCAAGGGACUGGGCAAGCCUGCCCGGUUGUACGGUCACCCUUUGGAGGGUACUCUUUGCUGCUAAUGAUCCAUGAAGAGGGGGUUGCUGAUGCCUGAAGGGGAUCUUGGACAAAGGAGCUACACUCUGCUCUGGAUAACUCUUUGCUGGCCUUUCCCUAAACUAAAUAAACAUUGAAUACUAAUUAGUGUGUAAGCGGCUCUUUGUGAAGGGUUUAAAAGUAGACCCAAAGCCA